AUGGCCGGGAGGGACAGGGACCCGCUGGUGGUUGGCAGGGUUGUGGGAGACGUGCUGGACCCCUUUGUCCGGACCACCAACCUCAGGGUGACCUUCGGGAACAGGACCGUGUCCAACGGCUGCGAGCUCAAGCCGUCCAUGGUCGCCCAGCAGCCCAGGGUUGAGGUGGGCGGCAAUGAGAUGAGGACCUUCUACACACUCGUGAUGGUAGACCCAGAUGCUCCAAGUCCAAGCGAUCCCAACCUUAGGGAGUAUCUCCACCUUGUGACAGAUAUCCCCGGUACAACUGGUGCCUCGUUCGGGCAGGAAGUGAUGUGCUAUGAGAGCCCUCGUCCGACCAUGGGGAUCCACCGCUUCGUGCUCGUGCUCUUCCAGCAGCUCGGCCGGCAGACGGUGUACGCCCCCGGGUGGCGCCAGAACUUCAACACCAGGGACUUCGCCGAGCUCUACAACCUUGGCCCGCCCGUCGCCGCCGUCUACUUCAACUGCCAGCGUGAGGCCGGCUCCGGUGGCAGGAGGAUGUACAAUUGA
rnacentral:rRNA from 1 species